rnacentral:rRNA from 1 species
GGGUGCGAUCAUACCAGCGUUAAUGCACCGGAUCCCAUCAGAAGUCCGCAGUUAAGCGCGCUUGGGCUAGAGUAGUACUGGGAUUGGUGACCUCCCGGGAAGUCCUAGUGUUGCACCCU